UAUUUUGCUUUGUAGUCUGCUUGAGCCGUGGCUCGCGUCCGUCACGGAAACUGUGUGGUGGAUCAGAAACAUGUGCACGCAAUCAGCUCGGUCAAUGAAAUGUGGGACACUCGAAAUAUCUCGGUCCCAGUUCAACCUUUCUCCACCCCCUCCUAUCUAGCUCGUCGGCGGAGAGCGAAAAAAUGGCGGCGGAGAGCUGCAUGGGGAAGGUGCUGACCUGCGAGGCAACGGACUCGAAUUCCUACUGGAUCCGGUUGACAGGUGAUUGCGGGUGUUGAGCAGCCAGAUCCAUUAAUUGGUGUUGAGGGCCGUCGGCCGCGGCUGGCCCCGACUCCUCGUGCGCAGUUGUGGUUGGAUUCCCCGGCGGCUCUGCUGGGCAGAGAGAUUCCGGCGGCAAGAGGAAGGAUUCGCCAACCCAGUCCGAGGGACAAGUUGAACCCAGAGACCUGAAGGUUGAGAGUUGGACGUGUACCUCCGGAUAGGGCACCCUGCCCUGUUUGAGUCACUCAAUUAGAAGAAACAAUCAGGAGGUACGCUGAUAAACCAUCGGACAAUGUAGUUAAGGCGUGAAGCCACAGAUUGGGCUGAAUUUUGACUCCCUGAGGAUCACUUCACUAAUAUGUACAUUCAACUAAGUAAGAGUUUGUAUAAAAACAAGACCAGCCCUGAACAGGCAUUCACCUCCCUGCAGUAGCGUUUAUUUGGGUAAAAGAAGGAUGUGGUGCAUCAGAUCCACGAAAUUUUGCUUUUUGACUACAAAGGGUCAACGAUUCUAAAAAAAGACCAAUAUGAUAGCUUGCACAAUCGGAUUCUAAGAAUAUGGGUCUCAUGAGCACCGAGGGUUAACAAGUUAAAAGCUCCACGGAAGAAAACAUCUCCCUAGGAAACAAGUGAACUACAUAUUUCAAAGAGAACCAUACAUGCACAUUUAACCGUUGCAAGGAAAUAUAAAAAGAUUACUAAAUAAGCAAAUUUGGGUAGUCAAGUAAGUUAUAAAUCAUUAAGAAAUAUUAGGCAAACAAAAGUUUUGACAUUUAUCCCCAUAGGAGUUUGUUCACUUCUUUGCUCGAACAACAUUACCCCAUCAACAAAUUAAUUUGUAUGUCCAAAAUAGCGUUAUUUGCACCGAGCAGCGCCAUUAUGGUUCAGUGUAUUACGUUCUCCGCUAAUGAAAUAAAUAUGCAGCUUGCAAACAAUAGAACGGAUCCAUGUCUACUACCCUAGUAAAGCAUGUAACGGUUUGAAGAUAAUACUGAAAUCCACAGAACCAAAGAAUUAAACUGUUUUGUUAUAUUUGGUUCUAUGUUCUAAGAGAAGAACAUUUGUUUAGGCUUUUUUUCCAGGCAGCAUUUAAUUAGGCUUUAGGAGCAUAUCAUCUAAUAUGUGUCAUGAAUAUGCAAACACUAUGAACAAGUAAGCAAAAGUUAUAGGAGACGUAUCACAUUUCCUAUGCUGGUAGUUCAUCACCUUGGGAUGCAGCCAAAAAAACAUAUUUAUGAACACUGUCGAUCAUCGUCGUGCCUCAUGGACAAACCACAAAACUUGGCAAACACUUGAUAGGGAUGAUAUGCCUCUUUUCUAUGUGAGAACUGGUAAACCUGCUCUUCAUUAGAAUUAGAAUAUCGAUCCUUCAUAUCAUAUCAGUAUUUUUGCUUCACUUGACAAUUUUUUAUUCAGUAUAACAAGAGAGUGUUCGCUCUAACUUCAUGAGUUCAAUAAGCACGUUUCUUUUGCUUCUCAACAUAAGAAUUAUCAUACAUAUACAGUAGGUAUGAGAGGAAAACUGCUUCCAGUUCAGAUCCAUGUGGUGUUGCUAUACAUAUAUAAAAGGUAUGAGAGGAAAACUGCUUCCAGUUUAGAGCAAUGUGGCAUUGCCAUACAUAUACAGUAGUUAUGAGAGGAAAUGCUUCAGGUUCAGAGCUAGGUGCAGCCAAUUACAAAAAUCACAGACAUGAGAACGUAGAUUGCACGCAAUAUCCAAUUUCCCGUUAGGGUAGGCCUCUAAAAUCUACCAAAACUAUGUACUCCCUCCGUUCCCAAAUAUAAGUCUUUCUAGAGAUUCCAACAAGUGACUACAUACGGAGCAAAAUGAGUGAAUCUACACUCUAAAAUAUGUCUAUAUAUAUAUCCGUAUAUAGUAGUCCAUUUGAAAUGUCUAAAAAGACUUAUAUUUAGGAACGGAGUAGUAUAUGACAGGAAAGGUUAAAAAACAUUAUAUUACAGUGUUUUUCGUUUUCAGAACAAUACUAUGUUCUUUUCCUGCUUCUGAACAUUCAUCUUCAGAUUAACUUAUAUUAUGUAAAAAAGGCCUAACAACAUGAUCCACUGUUGGUCUUUUGUCCGCAACAACAAAAUCUUGCAAUUCCUACCAUGGUUAUUUAUAAGUCCAUCCCAAAAUGACAUGCCUAAAGUAAACCAGAUGUAUAUGUUUUGCCCAGAGAUAAAAGCUGGAAACAGUAACCUCUGAUAGAUUAUCAGCCAGUAAUAAAUAACAGACUCCACAUAAAUUUGGAAACAAAAUAAACAAAGAAGGUACCAUGUCGAACACAUUGAUGUGUGAAGUAAGAAAAUUAAGACAUCGCUGAAAAGCUUAUAGUCCACUUCAUGUUUUUUUUCCUAAAUGCCGACAAAUUAACUUUGCAUUCUUGCAGGUUGUAUACCUGAAAAUGGGAAAGACUAAAGAGGCAAAAUCAUACAUGUAAAUUUACAUUCUGGUUUCUCUUGGAUCUGCUACAUGCUAAGCUUCUAUAGUCCCAUUUGAAAUAAAUAAGGGGACAAUAUGAGGUUUUCUAGUCCACUCCAUGUCUAUCAACAAAUAGUCAAUACCAGCAGUAGCAGCAGUGCAACAAAUUCUUGAGUAAAGAAGAAAGUAUGACCUAGAUAAAACAUGCGUAAUCCAUGUUUAAGAAUCAUUCUUUAGGCCAUAUAAAAGGAUGACAUAUAUAUGCAAGGUAAAUCCGCUAAAUCAAUUCCCAAAGAAUUGAAUGAGCAGAUCAAAUGCAACAAUUCAGAGCAUAUUUGUAGAGGAAGUAAUGGAAAGACAUUGUAUUGCAGUUCUGUAACCAUUUCCUCAAUUCUAUGGAGAUGAAACCAGAGCGUAACCAAUAAUGAAACACAUGAACAUCAUAGGUGAACUAACCUGAUAAUUCCUAAGGAGUAUUCCAUCGAACAACCUGUGAGCAACCUAAAACCAAUGGCACAGGACAAUUCACUUGAUCUGGAGUGUGGCCAUCUUUGUGUAGGACAUGCUUCGACCAUGGUGAGGGAGAGGUCCAUGCGGCAAGUUUGUCUGCUGGGCGGUGGUCAACAAGAUGGGGACAUUGUCUUCUCCACCCGGUGCCAUCAGGGUUUGCUGGAAAAGGGAUGGUGCAGAAUUCACCCAUUGGUGGCACUAUCGUGCCGGCGACCACUUGCUGCCCUCUUUGUCGGCGGCCUAACCUUCACCCUUCUCUUCAUCGCCUCCCAUCACAAAAUUUUCCAUCGACGGCGAACUUGAUCCCCUCCCCUAUCAGUGUGAUUGCUGCUGCUAUCCACAACGGUCAUCGAUGGAAGGCGGUGUAUGUUGAAUAAAUAGUGGUGAGGAUGAGAGCCAUGGAAGUUGCAAUCAAGACUGAGCUGCCCGGGACUGUGCACAGGUGGUGCAGAUGGCAUGUUCUUAAGAAAGCAAAAGAGCACCUUGGUCCGCUGUACACCAGCAAGAGCGAGUUCAGGUCUGAAUUCCGCAAAGUAGUGAAUCACAUGAUAAGUGUGGAGGAAUUUGAGACUGCAUGGGGCAUGCUGAUUGAGAAGUACAAUUUGACCAUUACAAAACGCAGCUUUAAGAUAUAUGACAGAAGUGGGUGAAUUCAUACUUCGAAGGUGUCUUUUGUGCCAAGAUGACUAGCACACGGCGUAGCGAGAGUGCAGACAAUAUGUUAAAAGAUGUGCAUGCCACCAGCCAGUCCAAUGCAUGUGUUCGUGCGGCAGUACACGAGGCUUCAAUUCUACCGAGAACCAGAUGAGAGCUACCAAGAAAAGAGGACAAGGAUUGUAGAGUGGUGCAGUAAUGAGGACAAAUGUUGUGAUCGAGAGGCAUGCACGAGGUGCAACGGUGCCCUGCUCUCCAAUGCCACAGUUCUUGGAGUUUCUAGUGUGUGACUUAUGGGUGAACUCUGCUGUUGUUCCUCCUGAGUGUAAACUAGUUGUAUUUUAGAUGAUGAUGUGUCGUUUGAACUUAUAAAUUUGAUUUUCCCAAACAGUAGUACAGCCUGAAUGGUGAGACGGAUUUUUUCCACAUAGUACAACUCAAUGUGCUGACGACACCGGUGACUCCUAGAUAAUAGGCUUAAGUCAUCUCUGCAAGCUAUGUGUGCAAAGCAUCAAGUUAUUUU